rnacentral:lncRNA from 1 species
AAAGGGAUGUGUAAAAAAAACCAUUGUUCAGAAGAAGGGAGUGUUAAUAAAAAAUAAAAAAAACCAGUGAAAGAUUACGUGGUCAUUCACAAGAUACUAACCAAAGAUACCUUUUGUGCAACACUAAUCCUACAAUUAUUUUGUACCAUUCAAGUGAGACCACGCUUUUGCAUGGAUCUUCUUGCUAUCAAUUCUUUGCGAGUCACGAUUACUCAUCUUUUGUGAAUUCACCACAGAUUUAUCCUGGCAAUUUCACCUUAUUUUUUGUUAACAUGUAGGAGGGAGUUUACUCAUCGUUACAGGCUAGAAAAGGUGAGGAAGUACAGUAAGGACAGAUGAGUGGAUAUUAAUAUGGAAAACAGGAUGCAAGAUGAAUGGUACCUCAGGUGUUUAUUGGCUGAUAAAGGCAAGUAUCAUUCUUCAAUGAGGGAGUUCCAGGGAGAAAAUUAAUCAAAAAUAUUAAACCAGUACACUUAAAAAAAAACAUUCUCUUUACAGCCACUAUUUCUGGGAUAUAGGUAGCUAUAAUAGCGAUUUUCAAAAAUUAAUAAGUUGUUUACAAAAUAAUGCAUGAAACAAACAAGAAAUCUUGACAAGUAAUCUCAACAUUGUUGUUUAUUUCAUGAAGUAAACAGAUAUUUUUCUAGCUGUCAGCAAAACCUUUCAGAACUAAUGGUCAAGUUCGGAAGUGGUGUGAUGAAGAGAAAUGGGAGUUAUUGCUUGCAUACUCCUAAUGAGACUAAAUUCUAGGUUGCAUUCUCUGGCGAGGUUGCUUGUUCAUUAGUCAUGAGAUUAUGAAUUUUUGUGCCAUUGAAGAAUGCGGUUCACGUCCCAGGAGAAAUCAAUCAGAUGAGGGUGAUUACAGUGCCGGGUAUGUAAUUUGAAUAUCAUUAGUGUGGUGUUAAGUUAUAGAAAUUCAAAUACUGUAUUGGCAAGUGUUUAUCAUAGCCAGUUUAUGCCUGUGGUAUCAGUAGGGUUGGGUUGGAAGGGGAGUAGCCACAUCAUACAAAAUAAUAUCUUGUAUUAUUAUACAGAUUCCAUUAAAGGUCGUUUAAACAAGAGAGUAAUGAGCACAUACAAGCAGUCCAAUGGAUAGUAAAUUUUCAGCAUAUUUAAUGUAACCUAUUUACAUAUUUAUACAGGUAUAAAACAUAUCAGGUGCCGGAUAUUAUAACCUGUUUUACAUAUGGUCAUGUACAGCAGCGGCUUCGGAAAUUUGCUGACAAGGGGUCCAAACCAAGGGCCAACUAGAGCCUCAGGUCGGGUCCAGGUAGGGUUCACAGGGACAGUUUUUAUGGCUUAGUAUAGCACAAAUUGUGCUUCUAGACCACAAUAUUAGGGAUUGGUAAUCAAAAUAACAUUAUUUGAAUAAUAAAGCAAUUUAAUAUUUUUUUAAUUUGUUAUCCGAUGACAUGGUCCUGUCGUCGAAUAAUGGAUGUCCAGGCCUGUCCAAUGGGGGUAAAUUCCCCCUGCUGCUCGCUGGUGCCACCACUGGCUUGUUAUACAAAAUUAUGCAAUAUAUCUACCUACUUAGACCAUAAAAAAAACUUGUUUCCUAUAUUAUUUCCUUAGAACGUAAGUUUCCGGCAAUAUUCCAGGGACUCCUAUUUCUGAAUAGGAGACACACAUACUUCCUAAACUUCCAAUGCUGAUUACUCCUGAAGCCAAAAUUGCAUACUUAACAAUCCAUAAUUUCAUUUAUUUCAUAAUUGCAGAUAUCAGUGUAUGACAAGACCAAUAGACCUUUCUUGAGAAAGGUCAUCUAAAAGUGAAGUUAAUCACUACCAUGAAUGAAAGACAAUUUUAACAAUAAAAAAAAGAAAACCCUUUUUGAAUUGCUGCCAGAAACUUAGGAUGUAUGCAAAAAAGUGUGGUAUUGUUUGAUUAUUAGUAAGGAUAUUGAAUUUUAUCUCUGAUUUUUUAUUGAAAUAUUAAAAUUAAGUGAUUAAGUUUUUUAAAGUUUAUAUUACAUUUAUUGGAAAUGUUGAGUAAUUAGCAUUAGAAUUUUUAAGAGAACAUAGCACAAUAUAUUUACCAUGUAUUACUGUACCUCUACAAUGGCUUGUGUAGAUUAAGGAAACCCAGAAUCAUAUUCACAUACUGAGAGGGCGGAUCAAUUCUUACACGACUCAUGUGGAGCUGUAUGCACAUUACUACCAUUCCCAAAUCUAGCAAGUUUACCAUUUUUAUUGUUGCUUUUUUAUAAUUAUAUAAUUUAAACUUUUAAUUCGUUUUAAUUUAAUUAUGUAUAUGUGCGCUAUACAAAUCUAACUAAAGUAUUAUUAUUUGUGAAUGAUGCACUAUACUAGCUACUUGUUUUUUAAAUGUAUAGUAGUAUUAGAGACAGUGAUUAUUGUAUAUAAUUGAUCUCCUUUGAUGUUUUACUUCUUUAAUAUAUGUCAAGUUUUAACUUAAAUGUACCAGAGUCCUAAUAGAAACCAGGAUUUUGGACUACCAUUGUAAAACAUUGUGAAUAAAUAAACAUUUGGCAAUGUAAUAAGAUUGCUACAAAAAUACCUUAAAGACAGCAUAUGCAAUUCAUAAGCUAAAGGAAAUGAGCUAUAUAAAUGCUCAUUAACAUUAACACAACAAGAUAUGGCAGAAGUUGUUAUUAUUUAAAGGUACCCUGGAAUUGUUGAUAAUUUUUUGUUUUUGAAGGAACACAACCUUGGAAAGAAGUCCAUUUGAUCACUUCCUUCCAACACUAAUAUGAUGGGCUUGAUUUUGUGACAGUCUUGUCAAAACCGGAUGAUAUAAGCUUUGAAAGUGACAAGGUUUUUUUUUAUGUGUAAAUACCAUUUACACAUUUGAGGUAAAAAAAAAUCUUAAGCUUGAACUUACCUAAUAUAGGCUGUUUAGUCAAUGCUUUACUUAUUUCUAUACUUACUUAAUAACUUUGUAUUGCUUCCAAUAUAUUAAUAAUAUCAAACCAUAUUCACAGCUUAGCCAAAAGGCUGAUUUUCGUUAGAUUCAUAGUGUUUUGUACAUUUUUUAAUGAGGCUUGAAGAAGGGAGAGAAACAGUGCGAACAAAUUUUUAAUUAUUUAAUAGGAAGGAGUGAGAAAUACUCACUAUUUAUUCAAUAUAUUGUGUAAAACAAGUAAUUAUAAAUCAGAAUUAAUUCUAAAUAUCAAUGGUAAUGUGGUAAAUACUUGUUGAGUGUCAUCCAUACCAUUAUUGGAGAAGGAAGAGUUAAGAUUUGAAUCCAUAUCUAGCUUUUUAAAUAUUUUAAGUUCUAAUAUUAAACAGUAUUGCAGGCUUCUGGUCUCAUCCUAGCAAUAUCCAAUCGACUGGCCAGUUCUACAAAAUAAAUUAGCUCACAUAUGUUCAUAGUCUGCUAAUUUGGUCACAUGACCAAGUUUGUAUUGAUGUCUAUGCGUGCCGCAUAAUUCAGUAAUUCCGUCAGUUUAAUUAAAUCAAUAUCGGUUGUGGCGAGUCCAGACUAAUAUACACUAACUAAUGACUGAGGAUGGCAGGACCAUAUUAGACCAAGCCAUAUUGCUAUAGACUUCAAUAACAUAUCAUCUUUGAGGUUUGAACUACAAUAUCUUUCAUAAAGCAAAUCAGAUCUUGUUGGCUUGUAACGACAUUUAUGAAACAUAAAUCAACAUUGAUCUGAGAUUUUUGUUACAAUGAUUAUUUGAGCAAAAAUCUUGGAGUUGGAAAAAACUUUUAUUCAUAUAAACAAAACCGAUUUGAAUUUUAAUUUAAAAAAAUUAACAUUAACAUUAUAGGCCUAAUCAAGUAUGUUAUAGAAAGUUAAUUAUGAUAUAUAAAAAAAAUUAUGUAUAUUAUGUUAUUAUAUUCUUUACUUGGAAACAAUACUUCUACAAUAGUGGCACUCGUACGUAAAGGUGUGUCCAAAGAAAAACAAAGCCAAGAAAAUUAAAACUUAAUCAACACAUUAAACAAAUAAAAAAAAAAAACUUUUGCUCAAGCAAAAACAAUGCCAUCAACCUGCAAAUGGAAGCUAUAAAUAAUGCAUAAAUUUAUUAUACUAAAUUGAAGUAUAUUGUGUGAUUAUUAUAUUUGAAAUAUAUGGCAUAACAAUGCUCUAUUGUCGUUGUGGGAAGAUGUGAACUUAAAGCUACUGUAAGCGGCCAGAUAUUCACAGACUUCAUUAUACAUAAUUUUAACAUAUCAAAUGGUGAAAAAUAUUACAUUUUAAAUUGAAUGAACUUAUUAACAAAUGCAUAGGUUGGUUUUUAAUAAAAGGACAAACAUAUGCAAGUCAUAAUCAGACUUUUAAAUAUAAGAAUAAAAUAUAGGUUGAAAUCAUAAUCCUUGGUUGACAAGUACCUUUAUAAAAUAUAGAUAGGCUGUAGGCGAAUAGUAUGUUGCUUUUAUAAUAUAUUUUUACAGGUCGAAGGCACAGUGAUAAAACUGUAUUUCUUAUACAAUUCAGAGCUAGACGUGUGCUCUGAUUUCAAUAAAGGAAAGUGAUAAAUUUAAGAAUAAUUGAUAAGCGAAUUAUUAAGGAAAUAAAUGCCACACUUUGAAGAGAGAAAUUUCAUUCAUCGAUAUUUGCGAGUAGAUUGUGCGGCAUAUUUUGUCUUGGUGUAGGAUGUUCGUUAAUAGGCAAGAGUAUCGAUUACAUAUCAUUCCCUACCAAUGUAUUGAUUUACAUUUCAUAUAUUUUCUGUAAGAAUAUGAUGAGUAUGGUGUUUUAUUCUCAAGCCUUUUAGCUGAUUCAUCACAACUCUUGUCUUCUUUUAUUUCAUUAUCUCAUUAGCAAUAUAGUACUCAUUUGCAUAUACAUUAUUUUAAAUUUUAUCAAAACCCACCAUGGCAGUGGAAGAUUAGUGGCAUUCACAAUUCAAGAGAUAUUUUAUUUCAGUUGUGUAGGUAAUAUACAUUACCAAUAAUUACUUCUCAGGUGCAAUAUUAAUUAACAUUAAUAUUAAUCAGAGACUUAUGGAUUAUGCCAAUAAUGGUAGAUGGAGGAAAAUUAAAUAUUCAAUACAUCAUUUUAUGAUGUAAAGCAGGAUGACUUUGGAUACUAUGAUUACUAAGGCUAAAACCUUUCAAUCAUUAGUAGGAAAAAAAUACUGCAAAUAAUCCAAUGAGCUCCUCUCUCAAAUUGUCACUGACACAAACUUCAAAAAUCAUAAUUUUUCAUUUUUUUUUGUUCUUUGACAUUUUGAUUAUGUACAUCAAACUUUACCUUUUCAUAUAAUUUUUAGGAGUGCAACUACACUAAUCAGCUAAUUACGCUUAUUGUCCAUAGCGCACAAACCGAGAAAAGUGGAUUUUUCAUUUUCACAAAGACACCAAUUUUCAUGUGGUUCUUAAAUGACAGUGGCGUUGCAAUCGUUGUGAUCGCUAGUGCGAUUCUUUUGCAAUUAUCUUCACAUUCCAAUAAGGGAGAUGAUUCAUAAUAGAAAUCCUGUGGUCAGUAAUUGCAGAGCUGUGGGUGAUUUGGGAUGCAAACUUCCUAUUUGUUCUGGUGACGGUACCAGUGAAUCUCAGCAUCGCGACAUGACGAAAAUGUGAUGUACCGGAAAUUAAACAUGAAGAAAAUUGCCAGUUGUAGAAAAAACGAAUCAUAAAUGACUUGUAACGAGCACUGCAUGCUUAUAGUCAAGUACAAAUGAACUAUGAACUAUUGGAUAUGAGCCAAGUGCAGAGAGCUAACAUGAGGAGCUUGAAAUACUACGUAGCCGGAGGUAACAUUACUACUACCGCCGCUCAUAACAUCAACAUUUCCAUAGCAAUGCCAGGAAGACUAAUAUGAGGAAGAGAUUACUAAAGAUUCUCAUGAUUUGCUCAAGGAAAUUACGUGUGGCAUAGUAAUCUUGGUUGCUAUGAUACGGUUUCUAGGAUACCCCAUUAUCAAGAUCUGUCAAAUAACGUUGAACUUGACCUUACACAUAUUUGAUUUUCUUUCCCUCCCUCAGGUAAUAUUAUCAAACUUUUAUAGUUAAUCGCUAUGUUUUAAUGACAUAUGGAAUGUAGUAUAUUAGACUUGUCCAAAAAAAUUAGUAGUAUUAAUCUUGGAAUUUGAAAGAUAUCAAUCACAUGUUAAUCAUUUGAAUACAAAUAAAUUUUAAUAGAUAUUUUAUGAUCUAACAACACCAAACCCUUCCCAUCUGAUUUAUAAACGAAUAAAUUAUUUAUUUUCUUUUCAUAUUUACUACAAAUAAGUUCUAUAUUAUUUGGAUAUUUACAGUCACAUUUACAUAGUCUUUCACCGACUGUUGGAAUGUUAAAUGCUAAAUAGCAAGGUAAAUCCAAAUUAUUUUAUUUUAGUAAUAGUCAUCACAACUUGCAAAUAUAACUUUGGUCCAUUAAUUGUCACAGAAAACAUAUGUGCUAAUUAAUAUAAUUAUUUUUAACUCUGUUUCUGAGGCAGCAAUGAAAAAAUAUGGAUGAUCUGAAGAGCAGAUGUUGUAAGGUUGAUUCCUUCUGAAUAAUAUAGCCACAGUCGUGUUGAUUGUAGAUAGGCUGAAUAAUCUUAUUACUGUACUAUGAAUUAAGUGCGGCGUAAACUCUUUGAUGUAACAUGCCUUCGGGUGUAUCAGUAGUCAGACCAAAAUAUGUACCAUGUACUUUGAUGACAAUUAUAUAUUUCUAAUUAUUUUUGAUGGUUUCAAAGACUUUGUUCUUUCAAUGCCAAAGGUACAAUAGUGCAAAAACAGUGCAAGAUAAAGCUUAGUAAGCUAAUGCCACUGUUUUUAAUGGUACAGUAUAGUGUAUGUAGAAGAAAUAUGCAUAAAAAAAGAAUAUAUAGGCAUAUGCAUAAAAUAUAUAUAUAUAUAUUUGAUUUAUGUAAUAAAUAUCAUCAUUGUUAUUUUUUAUUAUUAUUUCCAUCAUCAUUAGCAUCAUUAUCAUAAUCAUCAAUGUCAUAAGCAUCAUUAUCACCAUCAUCAUCACCUUCGUCCAUUGUCAUCAUUAACAAAUCAGCCAAUGACAGACCAAGACAGAAAAUUAUAUAUAAGCCUCUCCAAGGUAUUAUCUCAGCACCUUGAUCUCACAGCUCUCAUCCACCUCCGUAAGGUGUUACCAUCCAUAUCUUGCUCUAACAGCUCGUCGUCACUUCACAAAGGUGUUACCAUUUGCCUCCAAAUUUUGCUACUCUCAUUCACACCAUCCGUGUAAAUCUGACAACUACAUCCUCAAUCUUUUGUUUUCUUGCUAUGAAGUGUCAAACUAUACAACAUACAACAAACAUGCCUAGAUGUGUCAAAAUGAGCUUGCAAAUAUGAAUCUAUCCACAACAGUCCAAUAGCUAUUCAUAUAGUGAAGCACUCUUGCAUAAAUAAUGGAUCUACUGAAGCAUACAGUGCUUGUUUUUAUAGCUCUUGCAUCCAUUCACAAUAAUGUUACCGUACACAUCAUGUCAACAAUGAGAUAUUUUCCCUGCGCAGCAAUGAUUCUGCAAUGAAUCAUGGGUAAUCUUCCUUGAAUGAAUCUUUUCACUCACUAAGACAUGUUUCAUCUUCAUUUAUGAAACAUGUUAUGCUUGACUGGAGAUGAUAUUGAUCAGAUUUGUAUGUUGUUCUUUAUUGAACAGACUAUAGUCAAUGGAGCAGAAAUGUAUACAGUAUUAUAAAAGCAAGAAAAAAAUCUAAGGUAUUUUUAUUUAAAACAGUUUCUAAUGUAUAGACCUAUAUGAAAAAAUAAUGUCUAUUAUUGUUUUAGUUGGUAUGAUAAUAAUAAAUCCAAAAUAAUAUUAAUGAAAAUGAUGAUGAAUAAUAAUGAUUAAAAAGAUGAUAUGCAGCACGACUAGACUGGAUGUAAUAAGUCACUCUGGCCCAGAGAGGUUUCAUGCCGGUUUACCAAUUCA